AACAAAAUAUUUUGUUGAUUUAUUAUUACAUACUUUUGUAAUAUAUCUACAAUAUUUUGGUGUAACAUUAAUUUAUUGUCUCAUAGCCACAUUGAAGAGCAAUAAUAACUUUGUAGAGCGCAGUUGCGGAAAGUAGGCACUCGUGCCUCUGUUUAUGUUACAUUAAAAGUACAUCGCACGAGAUAUUUAAAAUACCCAAAUUUACAUAACAUAACAUUACAGAUACAUAUCUGUGCUAGCUGGGAUACUUGUCAGUCUGAUUCAUACCUGUCCAAACACUCUCUAGUUCAACUGAAUGGAAAGCGUUAGAAAAGUCUAUUCAGACAGAAUUGUCGUAAAUUCCCUUGUGUUCCAAGUCAGCAUAGUUGGCAUUAGUUUGUUUAUUUAAGUACAAGCUCUCCUAUAGAUAGACUAAGCAAUCCAACAACAAGAAAGCACAAAGUAUCCUAGGAAUUUAAAUACAAAGCUUUCUUAACAAUGUUUUCUAUAUGAACGUCGAAGAGCAGUCUGGAAUCCAACGUCACACCUAAAUCCUUAAUAAACUCUACAUACUUCAAGAUAGUGCCCCCGAGAUAGACACAUUUUUUUUGUGUCUAAGAUGGUUUUCUGCUAAAAAGUAUAGAAUGACAUUUUUCUGGAUUAUUAAAUAAAUUAUUUAAGGUGCAGCACCUUUCUAAAUUUGCAAGAUCAGAUUGCAAGGCACGAAAAUCUGAUACCUUCUUAAUUGUUGUAAAGAUUUUUAGGCCAUCUGCAUCUGCAAGAUAUUUACAGAUAGAGAAACAUUGAUCAAUGUUGUUUAAAAAGAUUGAGAACAAAAUCGGUCCUAAAUGAGAACCUUGAAGUUACUAUUGUACAAGACUCGUUACGUUACUCCUGAAGUUACUAUUGUACAAGAAGACUUUACUCCAUUUAUGACAACGUACUGAGAGCGAUUCGUUAGAUAAAUUUUAAUAGGGCUACCUUAUGCUGAAAACUGCUUGUUUGAUCUACAAAUACCGCCAAAAUAUCAUAGAAAGAAAUCUCCAAUAUGCAUCGAGAAAUCUUGCUAUUCUGAAGCCCUCCAUUACUUAUUGAAAAUUUUAUUUAUUGUCGCCCAUUGAUUAUUGCUUUUACAGUGGUCUUCAAAAAUAUAAAAAGAAAGAAAGCUGUCACUGAGUAUCAAUAAAAUUACUUACCAGAAUU